AAUAUCACACAGCAUUAUCUGUCUAUACACACAGAGCAUAUCUCCAUGCAGAGACACACUGGCACAUUUUGCUCUCCUCGAUGCACGCUUGAGUAUUGCUACAUGCUUUGUUGGAAUACUCUUUUCGCUCUCCUCUCGCAACUGCCUAAUAGUGCCUAGUGGAGGUUACUGGGGCUUGCUUGCAUUUCUCUGGUCAGCCUUCUGUAAAAUCUAUCCACUUCAUUAAUUUCAUUUUCCCCCGAUCAUCCCGGUUUGCUUGACAGCUCCGUCUCCCAUCCUUCCAUCCCAGCUCGGCUGCCGUAAUGCCAGGCAAGGUCAUCGACGCAACGGUUGAUACUAGGCCUUUAGAGAUGUCCGUUGUCUCUUGAUUACUCCUCCGAUUGACAACCUUAUUGUGACCUUCGAUACAGCCCCUGGUGCUCUUCAUACGUUCAUGAACGAACCUUGUAGGAGUUUCAUUGUGGAAUAAACUCAGGAAAUCGUACAAUUUGGAUUCUCUUACAUAGUAGGUUCUAUGCCUUUGAACUUGAAGCAAAUAUAUUUAGCUGCGUUACUUCAAACCUGGAAGAAUAACAAGGAAAUUAGUCACAAGUCCGCUCAGAUAGCGAUCAUGCUUGAGUGACGGCAGGAAUGGUUCUUCAGUUUUAAGCAGAAUAUCAGAAGAAAAAAAAUCCGCAAGAAUGAAAAGAACUAGAUGACAUCGCCUGAUUCGUAAAGUUAACAGGGGCUGACAUAUCAGGAGGAGGCUACCAUCUUAAAGGCUGACUGCUUGCCCAUGUGAUGACCAAUCGGGAAGGGGCUUUUAUCAGAGGCUGAAACUUUUGACCAAUCACAAAGCUGCUUGUGGAGUGAUCAUUGUUCAGAUCUACCUCUUGGAGUGAAAUACUCGUGAAGGGAUUUCGAUCCUUAGUGGGGCAGAAGGCACUUCCAUUAAACCACAUUUGAAUAUUUAAAUAUUUGAAACUGACCAAUCAGAGAGGUUGUAACAUAAGUGCUGGCCAAUCAGAUGAGAGUUUAGGCCUGGUCUUAACAAUUUGAAUCAGCUGAGCAGGAAAGGAAGAGUUGCAUCAUGUCGACAACACCGUGUGGCACCUUCGCGAAGAUUGUACUAUUUGUAGUCAAUUUUGUCUUUUGGCUAACAGGAGUAGCAGUACUAGGUAUAGGAAUAUGGGUGAGCGUGGAUCGAGGCACGGCCGACUUCCUACCGCUAUUCGAGGACCCCCUCUUCAAAAUACUGGGCUAUUCCAUGAUCGGCAUAGGGGGGUUCGUCACCCUCCUUGGUUUUAUUGGAUGUUUCGGAGCCUGUCAUGAACACAAGUGGAUGGUUUGGCUGGUAAGUUCGCUUUUAGAGCCCCGGAAAAUCCCCAUUUUCUUGCUGGUUUAGUCAGUAGGUUGUGAAAAGUGCCGGGAAUAAAAUAUCUUUUUUUGCCUUUUUAUGGCACCACAGCCAAACAAUAAAUGGCAAGUUUCUAGUAGACAUAAAUUAAUCAAAAGGACAUGGCAAGAAACAGAGGAUUUGAAGGCCUCAGGCCAUUUUGAAGCCUAAAAGAAAUUUUCAAAGAAUUAUAGUUAUAAUUAAAGAAACAAUGUUCAGUUACUCCGUUGCAUUAUAUUGCAGAUCAAACUAGUUCUGAAAUUUGGUGCACAUAUUGACUUUGAAAUGAUAUGUAUUUAGGCAAAUCCCUACUUGAAAGAACACUGUCCCACAGUGUUUUCACAGUGUGGAACACAAUGUGAAAUCACCUUCACACUGUUAAAUUUGAGCAUUUUAACAGUGUGAAUCACAUAGUCAACCAUGUGAGCACGCUAUGAACCGUCACAAUGUCGAUAAGUCCACAGUGUGAAAAUAUCUUCACACUGUUGAAUUUGACCAUUUUUACAGUGUGAAUUAUAUUUUUACAUAGUCCACUAUGUAAACACACUGUGAUCACACUUUGUGACAUUGUUCUUUCGAACAUGGCAUGUUGAAAUAUUAGUCUAUAUUUUCAUCACAAUUCUUGCCUCACUAUAUUUUGGCGAAAAAUCAGUAAAAUAUUGUGUCCCAACUUUUCUUACUUUUAUUUACCCACACUCUCAACUGAAAAAUAGAUGGCAGAGCCCUUAUACAUGUACAGUAUUUAUAAUGUUUUUCCCAUCAACGUUUACCCUUGACUUUAAAGUCAAGUGGGAUGAGUCUGCUGUGUAAUAUCACAAUAGAUACUUUCAUACCCCUACUCCAUCACAAGAAUACCAAUUAAGUACAAAAACUUGGAAUAUUCACGCCUCAACAUGUCUUAUAAUUUUCAAGUAUUGAGUGGAGAAGAGGAAGGCGUCAAUCCACACGAUGUGACGGCCCUGUCACAUCGUUCUUUGCAAGCAUUGCUUGUGAUUUGCGGGUAACAAUUUUUGCUACCCGCAGGUCGCCCGCAUUGACAGUAUCUUACACGUAUCUCACACGCAGUUGCCCGCAGGAGCGCACACAAGUCGAAUUUGCACACAGAAAAGUUUUGAACAUGCUCAAAUCUUUAUUGCGGGUGAGUUGUGGGUGAUUGCCCGCAACUCACCAGCAAUGCAUGCAAGCAUGGAGCGAUGUGACAGGGCCUUAUCAGGACAUACAAAUACUCAUAACUCUCUUAUCGCUUGUCCAUUUUCACUCAAACUUUUGUUGAUCUUCUUUGAUUUUCUGCUUUUAUACAAGUUAGCUUGUUCCAAGGGUUUCAAUCCCCCCCAAAUAAUUUGCUAAUGUACAUGUAAGCUGGCAAAAGCGUGGGGGUUUUUCACAAAGAAUUAAGAAUGACUUCGAGGAAAUACCUAGUUGCAUGCAGUAUGAAAUUCAUAGAACGCGUGUGGUAUGAAAGGCAUAACCACAUUGGUCAGUUCAUAUGCCAAGAGGACGCUCACUACUGCGUAUCAAUAAAAAAAGAUUGCGCAUUGCAUAUCAUGUACAUGUAUGCGUCAAUAUUUAAGUCGAUUCUAAGUCAUACUUAAAUAUUUGUGAAAACACCCCCUUAAAUAUUUGUGAAAACACCCCCAUGGUAUUCUCUGAUUUGGGUAGAAUUCCUGAUAAAAAUACCAUGUUUCUGUGACCGAGUAGGUAUGAAAGCCCCAUAACAUCAUGUGAUUUCAUGGUAUACUCGCUGCAUCACACAAAAGAGGAAAAACGAUUGUGAAAACAGACAAUUUCUUGUUCAUAUUCACAUUAGCAGAAAUAGUUGUUUAACUGUAUGCAAGGUCCUGUGCAGGUUUGCAUGGAAUUUACAAAGUCUGAAUGUGCUAGAAAUGGUGAAAAACUUUAUUUCAGAUAACAGGAAGUGGGAGAGACCCUUGGGUGUAAUUUCUUAUGAAAAAUUUGUCUUUGAGGUUUUGGCAAAUAAAAAUGAUAUGAUGACAAAAUAAUGACUGGAUAAAUAUCCCUGUCUUUUCCAUUAACUUCACAUUCAUGAGCACGUAGGAAGCACUUUCUUUAAUAUUUUUUUUUUCAUAUUGCCACAAUUGCUGAAAGUUUGGAGCUAUGUCUUUAAUUUCAAGGGCUGGUCUGUUUUGUGCAACAAGCAAUAUAUGCUGUUUAAGGCAUUUCUCAUCAUUCCAAGCACUGUAUGAUGUAAAUUGAUUUAUACCGGUAUCUAAACUAUCUUGAAUAAUGUUGGUGGCAGAUCUUUGGGCGACUUUAGAAACGAUGGUCACCCCAAAGCCCGGGGGGGGGGGGGCAGUCAAAUGUAUUGCUGUACACAUGCAUGGCCAAAUUAUUUCCAAACACCCCUAAACGAUUUUUGUCUGUGUGCAAAAUAAUCCCCAUAACAAGUUUCUUCGCGGGCUUUAUUUACACAUUUUGGCCCCUAAACAAGUUGUUGCCAGAUUAUGACCCCGGGGAAAAAGCUUGGGGGAAAAAAACAUAAACUAAACACGUUUGGCUAGUCUUAAAAAAAAAGCUUUGGAAAGAAAACAUACCCAAAUAUUUUUGACCCUGCGAUUGACCAUUGACCAGUCUUUCAAAACUACCCCUUU